rnacentral:lncRNA from 1 species
CAGACUGUUGGCCCUAAAGAUGGGAUGCUAGUGCUUCUCUUAAUUCCUCUACCCCAAUGAUAGGCUGAGCUAUGGUAUGGUGUAGAACCUGAAGUUACCUCAGAACCUACAUACAAGUCCAAAGGAAUGUAGGUUUGGGGUAACAAAUACUAAUUAGCUUGUAACUAGUUUUUGUUUGUUUAGAACUACAAGAUUAGUAAACAGAACAAUUUUAGUAAUCAUUAUGGUACAACUACCAAAGUCUUCCGAAUGAAAGCUCUUUAAACUUUUAAUUACUGAUUUUCAAUCACUGGUACGAAAACCUUCAAAGUCAUUUAUCACUCAAAAAGCACAUUAUCGGCCUAUUAA